rnacentral:rRNA from 1 species
ACCCUUAGAUGUUCUGGGCCGCACGCGCGCUACACUGACGAAUGCAACGAGCUUAUAACCUUGGCCGAAAGGUCUGGGUAAUCUCCAAAUUUCGUCGUGAUGGGGAUAGAUUAUUGCAAUUAUUAAUCUUCAACGAGGAAUGCCUAGUAAGCGCAAGUCAUCAGCUUGCGUUGAUUACGUCCCUGCCCUUUGUACACACCGCCCGUCGCUCCUACCGAUUGAAUGGUCCGGUGAAAUCUUCGGAUAGCUGGUAGUUGGCUUGCCAUCUACUGCUAAAAGUUGCUUAAACCUUAUCAUCUAGAGGAACAAGAANUCGUAACA